rnacentral:ncRNA from 2 species
AACAGGUCUUAAUGGAUAGCAGCAGCAACUCUGGUGCUAAUACAUGCGAUUGUUUCUCCAGAUGUGAAUUAUGGAGGAAAAGUUGACCUCAUCAGAGGCACGCCAUUCGACUGAGUGACCUAUCAGCUUGUACUUAGGGUCUUUACCUAGGUAGGCUAUCACGGGUAACGGGCGGUUACCGUCGGACUGCCGGAGAAGGCGCCUGAGAGAUAGCGACUAUAUCCACGGGUAGCAGCAGGCGCGAAACUUUCCCACUCGAGACUUUCGGAGGAGGUAAUGACCAGUUCCAUUGGUGCCUUUUGGUACUGUGGAUAGGGGUACGGUUUUCCACCGUACCGAAACCUAGCAGAGGGCCAGUCUGGUGCCAGCAGCUGCGGUAAUUCCAGCUCUGCGAGUUUGCUCCCAUAUUGUUGCAGUUAAAACGCCCGUAGUCUGAAUUGGCCAGCAAUGGUCGUACGUAUUUUUACGUUCACUGUGAACAAAUCAGGACGCUUAGAGUAUGGCCACAUGAAUGACUCAGCGCAGUAUGAAGUCUUUGUUUUCUUCCGAAAACAAGCUCAAUGAGAGCCAUCGGGGGUAGAUCUAUCUCAUGACGAGUGGUGGAAUACUUUGACUCAUGAGAGAGAAGCUGAGGCGAAGGCGUCUACCUAGAGGGUUUCUGUCGAUCAAGGGCGAGAGUAGGAGUAUCCAACAGGAUUAGAGACCCUGGUAGUUCCUACCUUAAACGAUGCCGACAGGAGUUUGUCAUUUGUUAAUGGCAGAAUCUUUGGAGAAAUCAUAGUUCUUGGGCUCUGGGGGAACUACGACCGCAAGGCUGAAACUUGAAGGAAUUGACGGAAGGGCACACCAGGGGUGGAGCCUGUGGCUUAAUUUGAAUCAACACGGGGAAACUUACCAGGACCAGAUGUUUUUUAUGACUGACAGGCUUCGGGUCUUUCAGGAUAUUGUUUUUUGGUGGUGCAUGGCCGUUGGUGGUGCGUGGGUUGACCUGUCUAGCGUUGAUUCAGCUAACGAGCGAGAUUAUCGCCAA